rnacentral:rRNA from 1 species
AUUGAACGCUGGCGGCAGGCUUAACACAUGCAAGUCGAACGAAUGGCGGACGGGUGAGUAAUGCUUUAGAAUCUAGCUUAUGGAGGGGGAUAACUCCGGGAACCUGUAGCUAAUACCGCAUACCAUAGUAUGAGCCCAAGUGGGGUUAGGUAGUUGGUGAGGUAAAGGCUCACCAAGCCGACGAUCUCUAGCUGGUCUGAGAGGAUGACCAGCCACACUGGGACGGAGACACGGCCCAGACUCCGACGGGAGGCAGCAGUGGGGAAGAUUGCGCAAUGGGGGCAACCUGACGCAGCCAUGCCGCGUGAAUGAAGAAGGCCUUCGGGUUGUAAAGUUCUUUCGGUAGCGAGGCGGUAACUACAGAAGAAGCACCGGCUAACUCCGUGCCAGCAGCCGCGGUAAUAC